AGAAUACAAGGGUUCUAGUCAAAAGGGCUCAAAAGUAUGAAAACUAUAGCUAGAGAGAGAAAAUUUUGCAAGCUACAUAUCAAGCUUCCAUGGAGGUUUUGAAGAAACGUGAGAGAGAAGAAGAAGAAGAAGACAAGCUACUGGAAGAUGGGAGAAAAAGCUGCUAGAAGAAAGUAUUUAUAGGCCAAACUUAUCCAUUCCCUUAAAAUUACGAAAAUGCCCUUGACUAGUUAGCUUGUUCUCAUGCAACCCUUUGUGCAAUCUUUUUACUCCUUUGAC
rnacentral:lncRNA from 1 species